UACAGAGGUCUCGAGCGUUAGGCGGAAUCACUGGGCUUAAAGCGUGUGUAGGCGGAUCGUUAAGUGCCUUGUGAAAUCCCACGGCUCAACCGUGGAACUGCUGGGUAUACUGGCGAUCUUGAGCCACCUAGGGGCGAGCGGAACAAGCGGUGGAGCGGUGAAAUGCGUAGAUAUCGCUUGGAACGCCGACGGUGAAAACAGCUCGCUGGGGGUGUGCUGACGCUGAGACACGAAAGCCAGGGGAGCGAACGGG
rnacentral:rRNA from 1 species